UACGAAGGGGGCUAGCGUUGCUCGGAAUUACUGGGCGUAAAGGGCGCGUAGGCGGCGUGACAAGUCACUUGUGAAAUCUCCGGGCUUAACUCGGAACGGCCAAGUGAUACUGUCGUGCUAGAGUGCAGAAGGGGCAAUCGGAAUUCUUGGUGUAGCGGUGAAAUGCGUAGAUAUCAAGAGGAACACCUGAGGUGAAGACGGGUUGCUGGGCUGACACUGACGCUGAGGCGCGAAAGCUAGGGGAGCAAACGGG
rnacentral:rRNA from 1 species